CAAUAGCGUAUAUUAAAGUUGUUGCAGUUAAAAAGCUCGUAGUUGGAUUUCUGGUGGGAGCGAUCGGUCUGGCGCUUAGCGCGAGUACUUGCAUCGUCUCCGGCCAUCCUUGGGGAGAGUCUGUCUGGCAUUAGGUUGUCGGGCAGAGGAUCCUCAUCGUUUACUGUGAAAAAAUUAGAGUGUUCAAAGCAGGCUUAUGCCGUUGAAUAUAUUAGCAUGGAAUAAUAAGACAGGACUUUGGUACUAUUUUGUUGGUUUGCGCACCAAAGUAAUGAUUAAUAGGGACAGUUGGGGGUAUUCGUAUUCCGUUGUCAGAGGUGAAAUUCUUGGAUUUACGGAAGACGAACUACUGCGAAAGCAUUUACCAAGGAUGUUUUCAUUAA
rnacentral:rRNA from 1 species